UAGCCGCCAUGGUGAAAUUGGUAGACACGCUGCUCUUAGGAAGCAGUGCUCAAGCAUCUCGGUUCGAGUCCGAGUGGCGGCA
rnacentral:tRNA from 2 species